rnacentral:rRNA from 1 species
GGUUACUGCUAUCGGGGUCCGACUAAGCCAUGCGAGUUGAGAGGGGUAAGCCCUCGGCAAACUGCUCAGUAACACGCGGAUAACCUGCCCUUGGGUCCGGGAUAACCCCGGGAAACUGGGACUAAUACCGGAUAGAUCAGAGAAACUGGAAUGUUCUCUGGUUCAAAACUCCGGUGCCCAAGGAUGGGUCUGCGGCCUAUCAGGUAGUAGUGGGUGUAACGUACCUACUAGCCAGCGACGGGUAAGGGUUGUGAGAGCAAGAUCCCUGAGAUGGAUUCUGAGACAUGAAUCCAGGCCCUACGGGGUGCAGCAGGCGCGAAAACUUUACACUGCGGGAAACCGCGAUAAGGGGACCCCGAGUGCCAGCACCUAGUGCUGGCUGUCCUACUGUCUAAAUAACAGUGGUUAGCAAGGGCCGGGCAAGACCGGUGCCAGCCGCCGCGGUAACACCGGCGGCCCGAGUGGUAACCGUUUUUAUUGGGUUUAAAGGGUCCGUAGCCGGCUUACUAAGUCUCUUGGGAAAUCUGGCGGCUCAAUCGUCAGGCGGCCAAGAGAUACUGGUAGGCUUGGGACCGGGAGAGGUGGGAGGUACUCCAGGGGUAGGGGUGAAAUCUCGUAAUCCUUGGGGGACCACCGAUGGCGAAGGCAUCCCACCAGAACGGGUCCGACGGUGAGGGACGAAAGCUGGGGGCACGAACCGGAUUAGAUACCCGGGUAGUCCCAGCUGUAAACGAUGCUCGCUAGGUGUCAGGUGCGGUGCGACCGCAUCUGGUGCCGCAGUGAAAACUUGAAGCGAGUCACCUGGGAAGUACGGUCGCAAGGCUGAAACUUAAAGGAAUUGGCGGGGGAGCACUACAACGGGUGGAGCCUGCGGUUC